rnacentral:rRNA from 1 species
GGACUACACGGGUAUCUAAUCCUGUUUGCUACCCAUGCUUUCGUAUCUCAGCGUCAGUAUAGGACCAGGUAACCGCCUUCGCCACCGGUAUUCCUCCUGAUAUCUACGUAUUUCACCACUACACCAGGAAUUCCAUUACCCUCUUCCAUACUCAAGGUCGACAGUAUCAAGUGCACUUCCUGGGUUGAGCCCAGGGAUUUCACACCUGACUUAUCGAUCCGCCUACAUACUCUUUACGCCCAAUGAUUCCGAACAACGCUAGGACCCCUCGUAUUACCGCGGCUGCUGGCAC